rfam:Corchorus olitorius cultivar O-4 contig12574, whole genome shotgun sequence.
UAUAUGGUCUUAUUUAAGACCACAUUCAUCUAAAAAACGAUAAUU